rnacentral:rRNA from 1 species
GGGCCCGCACAAGCGGUGGAGCAUGUGGUUUAAUUCGAUGAUACGCGAGGAACCUUACCAGGGCUUAAAUGCAGAACGACCGGGGUGGAAACACCCCUUUCUUCGGACGGUCUGCAAGGUGCUGCAUGGUUGUCGUCAGCUCGUGCUGUGAAGUGUCGGGUUAAGUCCCAUAACGAGCGCAACCCCUAUUUCUAGUUGCCAGCGGUUCGGCCGGGGACUCUAGAGAAACUGCCAGCGUAAGCUGUGAGGAAGGUGGGGAUGACGUCAAAUCAUCACGGCCCUUACGUCCUGGGCCACACACGUGCUACAAUGGUGGGGACAACGAGUCGCUAACCCGCGAGGGUAAGCUAAUCUUCAAACCCCAUCUCAGUUCGGAUCGGAGUCUGCAACUCGACUCCGUGAAGUUGGAAUCGCUAGUAAUCGCGUAUC